UACGUAGGGCGCAAGCGUUGUCCGGAAUUAUUGGGCGUAAAGAGCUCGUAGGCGGUUUGUCGCGUCUGCUGUGAAAACCUAAGGCUCAACCUUGGGCUUGCAGUGGGUACGGGCAGACUAGAGCGCGGUAGGGGUGACUGGAAUUCCUGGUGUAGCGGUGGAAUGCGCAGAUAUCAGGAGGAACACCGAUGGCGAAGGCAGGUCACUGGGCCGCAACUGACGCUGGAGGAGCGGAAAAGCAUGGGGGAGCGAACAGG
rnacentral:rRNA from 1 species